UGAGGAGAAAGCAAACCAAAGUAAACUGGACAGAGGCCAACAAGGGGCCAAUCACGCCUUCCAAGCAUCUGAAGAAUACACAUUCUACACAUUCCAGGCUCACCUCCUCCGCAGGCUCUGGGGUUGUUCUGCCCAGUGUCUAUCUAUCCACCUUAGGCCACAUUGUAAGAAAGCAAAAAUUAGCAGAAGAAACAGAUGUGCUUGUGUGUUUGUGAUGGAACUCUACAGUAAUAACCCCUUUUCUCUCUCUCUCUCUUUCUUUCUCUCUCUCUCUUUCUUUCUCUCUCUCUCUCUCUCUCUCUCUCUCUCUCUCUCUCUCUCUCUCUCUCUCUCUCAAUUAGAAGAAAGUCACAGUCCAUUGGUUAUAUACCUAAAAGUUUCUGACUCAGGCAGAAAAGGCAGUGAAGAUGGUCAUAGAGGCUUAAAUUUGCUAUCUGAGCUCCUCUUCCUGCUAAUCGUUCUUUAAUUCUUUGUUCUCCUUCCCUCAUAUCAUUCCAAUUAAAUUCUUGUGUCUCAUCAAUGCAAGAAUGCUGUGGGAGUGUUGUGUGUUGGUGGAUGCUACACCUGACUUAAAUAAAUCAGUCAGUUCUGUGUGGAUAGAUGUGGUAGCUAAGAGCCUUCUUCUCAGUGUUUACAAACCAUCGAUUUACUCAUAUUUCUUCCAAAUAUCUGACUUUCUUCCAAAUGUCUGAAUUACCACUACUGGGGAGAAAGGUUUUCAUUGUUGGUGUUGUUGUUUUCCUUUUUUCUUUUUUUCUUCCUGAUGUGUUUAAUUUGUAGGAAGUAGUUGAGUUGAUAGAUUAUACCAUUGCUUCCGUCAGAUCUUGGCUAUGAAUUUGCCAAGAGAACUGGGUCUUCAGAGAGUGAGAUAGCCUUUCUAGCUUUGUGAUGAACUUCACUCAGUGAGCUAUGCCACUGGAAGGUCAGCAGCCACUAAAGUUACCCAAGCUAAUGGAAUAAUAAAAGGAGGACAUGAAAUAACAGAUCUAUUAAAGCUAAGUAAGAAAACUUCAAAGGGUGGGAAAGGCUUCAUGGAAGGCAUAUCUCUAUAUUGCCCUUCCCAGUCUUCUUUUAUGGAACUUACAGCAAGAAUUAGAUGGAGCCUGAAAUAAUCUUUACUAGAUUGGUCAUUUUCUGUGCAUCAGAGUGGGCCAGCGAAGAGAGCCAAGCACACCCCUCCUUCGUCUCAAUCAGAGAUACUCAUCCAUUCCUGGGAAAAGUGAGUGAGUGCUUCAGGGAUAGCUCCCUACAGAUGAGCCCUGUCUUACUGCAUGAGAGAACUAUCUGCAGUCUCCCAAGGAGCCUAGAGUCCCAUCUCUUUCUGACAAGACAUAGCUUUAAUUGCCUUUACUUCCUAUUGAUAUGUCUUAGCAAUAUUUUAGGCUUGGAGAGGAAAAAGGAUACACUUCAUCCUGAGUCUAGAUAAAUUUUCUGGCCAAUGGAUAACUAAGAAUUGUUAUGAAAUAUAAGUGGGGAGAGGCACCUGGCCAGCACAUGCCAAGGUGUCCCCUUGAGAAAUUGUACCAUACAAGGUAGGGUUUAUUUGGGAGAAAGGAGGGGGAUGAAGAAGGGAUAGAUGAGAAGGAAUAGAGGCAGAGAAGUGGACAUGUAGACAGGGAGACAGAUAGGAGCAGAGGUGUGAAGACAGAGAGGGGCACAGAGAAGGACAGAAAGGCAGAGAGAGCCUGGCAGGAACACAUAGGAAAAAGAGACAGAGGCAGAGACUGGGGAGGGGGAGAGGAAGAGAGGUGGCAGGGUAGUCCUUUUAUAUGCAACCCACACCUGAAACAUCUGGGGGCAGGUGAUGACAUAAACUAUGUAUGUCACUGGGAAGAGCCUACUGGAACUGCCUGUAAUCUAACAAGAAUCCCAAUUACCAUUGACAGUAAAUGCAUAAGGCCAUUCUUCUUUCCAGCUGCGAUUCUACACAUCUCACCAGAAAGUUGAUUUGCAGGAAAAGAAAAAAGUUCUUUUCCUCCCCCAAAUUCACUGGCUCCUGCUACUGCAUUAUUCAAUUAUAAUCUCAUCCAAGACAUUUCUGAAGGAACCCUGUAAUUUCAUUUAUCAAAAAGGAGAGACUAGAAGGGCAAUGUUUCUCUGUAGUUGUUUGAGGUAUAACUGGAGAGCCAGCAUAUAAGUAGAUUGAAUAAGAUUUCUAAUGCUAAGAUACUUGUGAGAUCAUGUAGCCCAUAACCACACGAGGUGUGCCAUUCUUUCCUGGAUGACCACUCUCUUAACCCUUAUGUUUAAAAGCUACCUUAAAGGUGUCACGAUAAACAGGGCUCUUUUCUGAGAUGCCCCACAUGCGUGAUAUCUAGUGCACUUUAACCUUUCUCUAAACAUGUUUCCUUCCAUUCUAGAAAUAUCAACUCUCCUUUAUAGUAGGUAAUCUUUAAAUUAUAUAUAUAUGUUUUUCUUGUUUUUUGUUUUUUUUUUUUUGAGACAGGGUUUCUCUAUAUGACCCUGGCUGUCCUGGAACACACUCUGUAGACCAGGCUGGCAUCUGACUCAGAAAUCUGCCUGCCUCUGCCUCCCAAGUGCUGGGAUUAAAGGCAUGUGCCACCACUGCCCAGCUAGUUUAAUAUCUUAAAUAAUGUAUUGGCUUGUAAAUCCUUCAUCUAUCACAGUACACAAUUAAUACACAACUGAGAUGAUACAUUGUAUAUUGUUCUGUGUGGAAGCCCAUUACCUGAUUUUAUCUGAGUCAGAGGCUCGAUAACAUUCAUGGAACAUCUCAGACUGCUGCGGGCCAUAGAGUAGACCAGUACCUCCUCCAUUUUGCCACUGAAGCUUUUCUAUAUAAAAUAUAUAUUGUUUACAAUUUCAGCAGAUUGUAAAUUGAAAUGAGACUCAUGUAUCUGUAAGCAAGCAUAGUCAUGCUGAAAUCUACUAUCAGGAUAUUUUUUCAUUAACUUACUAUAUACACCAUAUUUGAAACCUCAUCAUUACAUAUUAAAACUUCAUUUAAAAUGUUCUUAUUCCAACUUGGGAUCAUUCUAGGGAGAAUCUAGUUUAACAUUGAGUUGUCAUUAUGAUUAAUGUAAGAACCUUCAACAUCUUGCUUUUUAAUAAUUGUUUGUUUUAAAUAUCAAUUAUGAAGAAGGUAUUGCAGUUACCUAAGGUUACAAAACAAUCCCCAGAAAUAUUUUAGCCUCAUAUUGAAACUACUCUUCAUGAAUAUGUAAUACAAAAUAGCAUAAAAACAAAAACAAACAAACAAGCAAACAACAACAACAACAACAAAAAACAGGCAUUCUCAACAUUUGUUGUCAUUGUAUUUUCAGGUGAAUUCUUUGUUACUUCCAGUUUAGUAUACUCAAUCAAAAGCUAGAAACCAUAUUUCUAAAAUGGUUAUGUUUCUUCAAGGCAUUUUGCCCUGUAUUGUGCCUCUGGUGUUAUCUGGCUGAUAUAUAUGUAUAUUCUGGGUUCCUUUGGUUGUUGUUUAUAUAUAUUCCAGACUUGCCAUUUGUGAAUUUUUGAAUAAAUGAGGUAAAUUGACUUAACUCAUCUGGUCACUUACAAAUGAUAUAAUUAAUUUCACUACAAGACUGCCAGUGAGAAUUUGCACAUUUCUGUUGGUCAGUGGAGAAGCACAGGUAUCAGGAAUAUAUAUCUACUAAAAUAUAGGUAAUAUUUUAGUCCCGAGACCAAUGGCUUGUGAUAUAAGUAAGUCUCAUAUAUUUUGCUUCCCAUGCUUAUAGUCUUCUACUUGGUAUUAUGAUCCUCAGGCAGUGGGAGGAACAGGCUUUAUGAAAGAUAACAUAGAUGGAAAUGAUGAAGUACGAAAUAGGUAGAAUGACAAAUAUAUUUCAGUCAUUCUAAAUGUUAUAAUUAAAAAGAACCACUCUAAGAAUGCAUAGUUGAAUAUUGAAGCCUCGGUCUAACCCUAAAACUGGACCUCUGGUAAGUGUACAAGCAGCGGGGAUAGUGCUGGAUUUCGUCAGACCAUAAUGACUGUGACCCGACAUUUUACAGCCUAAACUCAUAAAGCCAAUGAGUCCAAAAGCCUCAUGAGUAUAGUAUUAGGUUCCUAUCAAUGAACACUUUUAUUUUGAAAUUUUUCCAGGGAGUAUCGAGGAACAAAGGUAUAGGGUGAGUUUUUCCAUUUUAGAGUCUAAGGUCUUAUGCCAUGUAACAAUUAGAUUUUAACGUCACAGGAUUCUUUUAUCAGUUGCCAAAAAAAGCAGGUUGACUAUUUUGUUUUCCCAGGAUACGCUUUUGGAACGAGUCCAGAUCAUUUAAAUUUGAUGUAACCUCCUCAGUUCCUUCACUUACUGGCUGACUGGCUCUGGAAAAGCUACGUUAACAUUUAAGAUGUUAUUAUAAAAGGCAUUUUAAAACACUCCACUCAAAGUUCCCAAACCUAGUAUAUUUCACUCUUUCUGCCCUAAAGCCAGUUCAUUUCUACUUGAUUUGUUCUAAUUAAUUGAAUGCACGCAUAUAUUUCAGGAACUCUUCGUGGCCUAGAGACUUUAGACAGUCUCUCUCAUGGUCUCACUGAUGGCCAUCAUUGCGACCAGCCAUCACCAUCCGGGGCAUCUCCUGAAAACGCGUCAUAUCUUCAACAAAACAAAACUAAAAACCUUAUAUAUUUACAUGUGUCUCUUAUCUUCAUGCUCAAUUUAGGUUAAAUUUUCUUCUUUUUAAAAUAUAAAUAAAAUGAAUAUAAGAAGUACUUUAGCCCGGGCGUGGUGGCUCACGCCUUUAAUCCCAGCACUUGGGAGGCAGAGGUAGGUGGAUUUCUGAGUUCGAGGCCAGCCUGGUCUACAAAGUGAGUUUCAGGACAGCCAGGGCUAUACAGAGAAACCCUGUCUCGAAAACCAAAAAAAACAAAACAAAACAAAACAAAAACAAAAACAAAAACAAAACAAACAAACAAAAAAAAAGAAGUACUUUAGACUCUUUACCAUAUACAACAAAAUUAAAUAAUUUCCCAUUGUAUGCGUGGUAAUCUUUGAAGUCAAGCCAGUACACACAUGCACACAUGCUAUUCAUUUUCAGGUAUCUACAAUGUUGACUGUAUUGGGCAAUGUGUUGCCAGGUCCAAACUUCUAAUACAUAAAUCACACUAAGUACAUGGAUCUAAUAUUACAUUUGAAUAAAAGUAAUUACAAGUGUUUAGAAAUGGUUUUGAAGAAUAUGUUGGUAGUAUUAGAGAAAUUCCUCAGUGGUUAGGCACACAGAUUGCUCUUAGGUAAGACCAAUAUUUUAAACCCAGCACCAACCUGGCAGCCAACAACCAUUUGUAACCUGGUUCUGGGAGAUUUGAUACCCUCAUCUGAACUUUCUGGUCACCAGACAAGUAUGUAGCGAGCAGACAUAAAUUCAGAAAGAAAAUGCAAAACAAACAAAUAAACAAAAAACCCUGAAACAUAAAAAUUAAAAAUUAAUAAUUUUUUUGGAAAAAUGCAUUGGCAACAAGGUAGAGUAACAUUAUAAGCAUAACAUAACCAUUUUAUGGAAGGUACCGAAGGGCAUGACUUAUGCCAAGUCCAGCUCCUUCAGUUCGUGUUUUUAGUGAUUCUGUGUUUACUCACCUAAAGGCUGCUCCUUCUUAAAAACAAUUGCCUGGAUGUAUUCUACUUGUGUUGAAUGUGAUUUCAGGUGCAUUUCCACCAUUAAAUCUGUCUAACAUGCUUACCUAAGUGUAGA
rnacentral:lncRNA from 1 species